GCCCUCUCAGGGUCGCACCUGGAGAGUUUUCUGUACUCUACCAGUCUCGACUACAGGAGGGAGAGUCAAGUAGAGGCAUUACCAAUCCAUUCCUAACUUGGCCAGUGGCUAGCGAGUGGAAGGCAAUCUGCUACAAGU
rnacentral:snoRNA from 2 species